rnacentral:lncRNA from 1 species
UCAAAAUCUACAUUCAUCACUCAGAGAAAAUCUUACAUAUCAUGGACUGCCGUUUAUCUCUAAACCGUGUCAUUGCUGGACGUUGGAGGUAAUAAGGCCUCACACUUACAGCUGCCUAGGAGGCAAUCGGCAUUACACAUACCAUGGGGUAAUAAGUAGGACCUGCUUGAUGGUAUCAAUUGAACCAUACAGAAAAAGGAUUACACUCAUUUCCAAAAAAGAAAGGAGGCAUGUCAAAUAAUAAUAUAUAGUCGGCAUAGCGUACUCUUCAUGAACAAAUAUGACAAAGAAAAGAACUAUCUUUUGAGAAUGACCAUAUCUCAUGAAACUCGAAAGCACUGUCCCGCAAUAAAAACAUCACCAGUAGUCAUCAUGCAUGGCGCUACUCUCUGAACCUGCAUAUGAACCAACACCAAAUUGGUAAGAAAAAUAUUUCAGAUAGGAGAGUGUCCAAUUGGGAAAAUUAUGAAACACAAGAGUGCAGACCAAUGAGGUUAGUUAAUUGAGAAGGAUCUAGCCAGUUGACAUAGCUUAACUGAUUGGGAGAUUAAAAAGGAGAAUGUCCUGCUUGUACUAAACAUAGCAAAUGAACAAAAGCUAAAUUAUAACAAGAAGAACAUGGCUGUGAGAUUAAAAACAAUGAGGAACCCUGUGUCUGUGUGGCGGCAAUGGCAAUGGCUUGCUGCAAUCACAUCAGUGAUCAUCGACGAGGAGGGAGUCCCGAGGCCUCGUGUGCCAACUCAUUGACAAGACCACCACUACCCACAACUCAAAACGUAAAUGCCCUAUUUAGAUGCAAAAAAUUAACCAAUCAUGAUACUUAGACCAAUCAUCAGCACCACAAUAUUUUCUACAUGUAUGAACAAGAAAAAAUACAAAGAAGAAAAGUGAGCCAGUAGUGUCUUAUUUAGGAUAAUCAACUGCAACAUCAGUCAGCAUUCACAUAGUUUUAUCAACUGCAACAUUAGCAUCUUAGAAUUAUGUACUGUCUUAUUCAGGUAACUGGGCUUUCAUAGAUUAUUAUCUCUUUACUAUAAGCAAAUCAUCCCCAUUUGACGUAGGCAAAAUUACAUAGCCCACUUGGAGAACCAUUUAUGCAAUAGAUUGUUACUGCAGAUGGUCAUGGAAUCGCUAAAGGACAUGAAGAAGCUCAACUGUCCUGGCGUUUGGGAGUUGUCCUCUUCUGCAGUCAGCCUCAAGCCAGGACUUACACGGAAGCACAAAGUUCUAUACUACACCAAUUUUUCAGUGAAUCAAAGUAGUCCAAAGAAAUACUCUUAACUAUUCAAACAAAAAAAUCCUAUAGAGAUGUUAAGAAGAAAAAAUAAAUCAAACAUGCAUCUUGUCCCCGUCAUGGCUUGUUGCUGCAAGCCCAUGUAGCCUCAUAUCCUCCAUAGUUUGCCGCUCUGAACCCGAGCAGCCCUCAAAUCCUUCAUGGUUUACUAUUGUGGGCUGGGCUUCUUCAGGGGAUAUAGUGAGGGGGGGUCCACUCACCUAUAGUCGAGCUGCGGCGAACCAAGGCCGGCCUGCUCCUCCCACAUGUCACCAAUCCCUUUCAUCUUCCCUGCAGGUCCACCCCACAGAAACGAGCACUGCCACCGCUGCUUCUUGUCCCGGUCACGGCUUCUCCUCGGCCCUGACCUUUCUGCUCCUUCCCACUGCAGGCCUGUCCUGGCCUCGCUGCUCCUUCCCAACUGCAGGUCUCUCCUGCUUCUUCA